rnacentral:rRNA from 1 species
UACGAAGGGGGCUAGCGUUGCUCGGAAUCACUGGGCGUAAAGCGCACGUAGGCGGAUUGCUAAGUCAGGGGUGAAACCUCGAGCUCAACUCCAGAACUGCCUUUGAUACUGGCGAUCUUGAGUCCGGAAGAGGAGAGUGGAAUUCCUGGUGUAGCGGUGAAAUGCGCAGAUAUCAGGAAGAACACCCGUGGCUAAGGCGGCUCUCUAGUACGGUACUGACGCUGAGACGCGAAAGCGUGGGGAGCGAACAGG